GGUAGUAUAGUAUUGUGGUUUGAAUGUCAGGCUAAAACUCUGGAAACUAGAGUUCUAAUCCCCAUUCAACCA
rnacentral:tRNA from 1 species